CUUAAGCCAUGCGAGUCGAGAGGUGUAAGACCUCGGCAAACGGCUCAGUAACACGCGGAUAACCUGCCCUCAAGCGGAGGAUAAUCUCGGGAAACUGAGAAUAAUACUCCAUAGGCCCGGGAAGCUGGAAUGCUCCCAGGCUGAAAAUUCCGGUGCUUGAGGAUGGGUCUGCGGCCUAUCAGGCUGUAGUGGGUGUAACGGACCCACUAACCUUCGACGGGUACGGGCCUUGAGAGAGGUUGCCCGGAGAUGGAUUCUGAGACACGAAUCCAGGUCCUACGGGGCGCAGCAGGCGCGAAAACUUCGCAAUGUGGGAAACCACGACGAGGGAAUCCCAAGUGCUGCAACUUAGUUGCAGCUGUUUUCCUGCCUAAAAAGCAGGGAGAGUAAGGGCCGGGUAAGACGUGUGCCAACCCACGGACAGACAUAACGUAUGUCCGGUUCGCGGAGCAUAAGCCGCCGCGGUAAUACCCGCGGCCCGAGUGGUGCUCAUUAUUAUUGAGCCUAAAACGUCCGUAGCCGGUCUGGUAAAUCCUUGGGAAAAUCGAAUCGCUCAACGAUUCGAAGUCCGAGGAGACUGCCAGGCUUGGGACUGGGGGAGGUUUGAGGUACUUCGGGGGUAGGGGUAAAAUCCUGUAAUCCUUGAAGGACCACCAGUGUCGAAAGCGUCAAACUAAAACAGAUCCGACGGUGAUGGACGAAGCCGUGGGGCGCAAUUUAUGUGCGUCUCAAAGAUACACAUAAGCGUAAACGGGAUUAGAUACCCCGGUAGUCCACGGUGUAAACGCUGCAGACUUGGUGUUGGAGGCAGUACGGCUGCGUCCAGUGCCGGAGAGAAGUUGUUAAGUCUGCUGCUUGGGGAGUACGGUCGCAAGACUGAAACUUAAAGGAAUUGGCGGGAGAGCACCGCAACGGGAGUAGCGUGCGGU
rnacentral:rRNA from 1 species